UUUAAGUUAAAAAAAAAAAAAUUUAGUGGACAUGUGUCACUAGCUAACCUAAUGGUGCCACCUAAAUUUGCUCUAAGGAUGACACCUAGCAUUUUUCAUGCAUGCUUGCCACCUUGAAACUUUGCAACUCUUGUGUUAACCAAAAGUAAUUAAAUAAGAGAUUAAAGGAGAAACUAAAUGUAACCUUCAGAUGCUGCAUCCAACGUGAGUUUAAGAAGAGAAGAGAAGGGAAGAAGAAGAAGAAGAGGA
rnacentral:lncRNA from 1 species